AGAAUGAACAGUCAGAAGCGCAAGUGAAGUUGGUGAACCCUUGGUUGAGAGAUUACGUUAAGGACCUCAUUAAUGAACCAAAGUAAGGAUUGUACACAUCGAGUGUCCCUCAAAAAGUGACAUUAUAGAAAUUAUCCUAUUGUUGUUAAGCACAGGAUUUCAUGCGCCUGCAUGGUCAGUUCAGUAAAAAUUCAAUUCAAUUGUGUUUACGCACUCUUGUGUUCAGCAUAGUGCUCAGGCAUUCAAAUUAUAACAAUAGGAUAAUUUCUAUACUGUCGCUUUUUUGGGGACAUCUUGUACAAAGAGUGGAUAAGAAGAGAUAUAAUUUUGGACAGUUUGUGCCAUUGUAUGUAUACUCUUUCUAGCUGUGUUGAUGGAUUUUGUUCUUCUUGCCUAGAUCAAAAUUUAGUCUAUAGCUGGAAUUGCCCAUUCAAUAAGUCAAUUUUGAUGCUAGAAUAUUUUUAAUAUUAAAAGGCAAGAUUUUAAAAUCUGGAACCCUUUAGGUUUUCAAAUCGAAUCUUUGC